GACGAACGCUGGCGGCAUGCCUAACACAUGCAAGUCUAGGGGUAGCAAUACCACUGGCGCACGGGUGAGUAACACGUAGGUUAUCUGCCCCCAUCACAGACAUAACCCCGGGAAACCGGGGCUAAUAUCUGAUGAGGUCGCGAGAUCAAAGCUUCGGCGGAUGGGGAUGAGCCUGCGGCUGAUUAGCUAGUUGGUGAGGUAAUGGCUCACCAAGGCGACGAUCAGUAGCUGGUCUGAGAGGACGAACAGCCACACUGGAACUGAGACACGGUCCAGACUCCUACGGGAGGCAGCAGUGAGGAAUAUUGGGCAAUGGGCGAAAGCCUGACCCAGCAACGCCGCGUGAGGGAUGAAGGCC
rnacentral:rRNA from 1 species